rnacentral:rRNA from 1 species
UGGGGAAUAUUGGACAAUGGGCGAAAGCCUGAUCCAGCCAUGCCGCGUGUGUGAAGAAGGUCUUCGGAUUGUAAAGCACUUUAAGUUGGGAGGAAGGGCAGUAAGCGAAUACCUUGCUGUUUUGACGUUACCGACAGAAUAAGCACCGGCUAACUCUGUGCCAGCAGCCGCGGUAAUACAGAGGGUGCGAGCGUUAAUCGGAGUUACUGGGCGUAAAGCGUGCGUAGGCGGCUAAUUGAGUCGGAUGUGAAAUCCCCGAGCUUAACUUGGGAAUUGCAUUCGAUACUGGUUAGCUAGAGUGUGGGAGAGGAUGGUAGAAUUCCAGGUGUAGCGGUGAAAUGCGUAGAGAUCUGGAGGAAUACCGAUGGCGAAGGCAGCCAUCUGGCCUAACACUGACGCUGAGGUACGAAAGCGUGGGGAGCAAACAGG